GAGGACUCACACAGGAGAGAAACCCUUUGAAUGUCGUAUCUGUGGGAAAGGUUUUAGUCGCAAUUACACGCUGGUGCUACAUCAGAGGACUCACUCAGGAGUCAAACCUUUUGAAUGUCCUGACUGUGGGGAAAGUUUCAGUCAGAAUUCUCACCUAGUGAUACACCAGAGGAUUCACACUGUGGAGAAAUCUUUGAAAUUCCAGUCUGCAGAUGUUACUUCAAAUAUAAAUUACCCCUUAUUGCACACAAGGCAAAAGAAUGCCAAAGAGAGCGCCGUGGAGAACUGAAUCACAAGCAGCAUUAAAAUGCAGAGGAAACCAAGGCAGCAAUCAAAAUCUUAUUAGUUCCUCUGGAAAACCCCAAAACUCUUCUUCCCUAGCAGCUUAGAGACAAGGAAGA